GCGGCGGACGGGUGAGUAACGCGUGGGUAACCUGCCCUAUACACAUGGAUAACAUACUGAAAAGUUUACUAAUACAUGAUAAUAUAUAUUUACGGCAUCGUAGAUAUAUCAAACGUGUUAGCGGUAUAGGAUGGACCCGCGUCUGAUUAGCUAGUUGGUGAGAUAACUGCCCACCAAGGCGACGAUCAGUAGCCGACCUGAGAGGGUGAUCGGCCACAUUGGAACUGAGACACGGUCCAAACUCCUACGGGAGGCAGCAGUGGGGCAAUAUUGCACAAUGGGCGCAAGCCUGAUGCAGCAACGCCGCGUGAACGAUGAAGGUCUUCGGAUCGUAAAGUUCUGUUGCAGGGGAAGAUAAUGACGGUACCCUGUGAGGAAGCCCCGGCUAACUACGUGCCAGCAGUCGCGGUAAUACGUAGGGGGCUAGCGUUAUCCGGAUUUACUGGGCGUAAAGGGUGCGUAGGUGGUCUUUCAAGUCGGUGGUUAAAGGCUACGGCUCAACCGUAGUUAGCCUCCGAAACUGGAAGACUUGAGUGCAGGAGAGGAAAGUGGAAUUCCCAGUGUAGCGGUGAAAUGCGUAGAUAUUGGGAGGAACACCAGUAGCGAAGGCGGCUUUCUGGACUGCAACUGACACUGAGGCACGAAAGCGUGGGUAGCAAACAGGAUUAGAUACCCUGGUAGUCCACGCUGUAAACGAUGAGUGUUAGGUUCUUGGAAUAAUCUGGGAGCCGCAGGCUACGCAUUAAACACUCCGCC
rnacentral:rRNA from 1 species